rnacentral:rRNA from 1 species
GACGAACGCUGGCGGCAUGCCUAAUACAUGCAAGUCGAGCGAACGGAUGAAGUGCUUGCACUUCUGACGUUAGCGGCGAACGGGUGAGUAACACGUAAGGAAUCUACCUAUAAGCGGGGGAUAACAUUCGGAAACGGGUGCUAAUACCGCACAAUAUCUUCUUCCGCAUGGAAGAAGAUUGAAAGACGGCUCUGCUGUCACUUAUAGAUGACCUUGCGGUGCAUUAGUUAGUUGGUGGGGUAACGGCCUACCAAGACGAUGAUGCAUAGCCGACCUGAGAGGGUGGUCGGCCACAUUGGGACUGAGACACGGCCCAAACUCCUACGGGAGGCAGCAGUAGGGAAUCUUCCGCAAUGGGCGAAAGCCUGACGGAGCAAUGCCGCGUGAGUGAAGAAGGCCUUCGGGUCGUAAAACUCUGUUAUAAGAGAAGAACAAAUUGUAGAGUAACUGCUACAGUCUUGACGGUAUCUUAUCAGAAAGCCACGGCUAACUACGUGCCAGCCGCCGCAGUAA